GUAGGUUUUGUUUCUCUACCCCUUUAUACCAAAAGUAAAUGCAGCCCAAUGAAAGAGAGGUUUCUCCUCCCAUCAGUUGCUUAGAGCUGUUGCCUUUAAAUAGUAACUCAAUACUUUACAGCUGUGUAAACAUCACCAUUUGACUCCUGUGAAUAAGUGAAGGAAUCUAGAAAGAAGAUUGGAGAACAGAGAUCUUGGGAAGCAAAAGGCAAGUCUCAUUAAAUCAUGCGGACUGGUACUACUGCAUUUAUCAAUAUUUUCCCCUCCAUACAUAUGUCCUUCACUGUGUGUGUGUGUGUGUUUGUGUGCGUGUCUUUGUCUGUGUGCAUGACUGUGUAUGUGUGUGUAUGAUGUUUUCAAAACAGAGUGAAGUUUAAACUAGUACAGUUAUAAGUUAAUAAUUUGUAGUUUUUUCUUGUUGUGGUUAGUAUUUAUGUAACUGCAAAAAAGCUGUAGUUUUGUUAAGUACAGGGUUUUCUGUUAACCUAAAUGUUGGAAACUGUGAAGUUGUUCUUUUUGGAAGGGAGAAAAAGUAUUAUUUAAAUGGAGAAAAACUGCAGGAAGCAACUGCAUCAAUUAGCUUCACAUGAUCAGGAAGGAGAGAUCCUAUCCAGCGUGAGGCACAGCCCGAGAUAAAUUAUAGCCCAGGUUCAGGGACCCAGCACAAGAGAGACAUCUCAGGCAACACAAACCUGGAAACUCUAGAGAAAGAGCUCCAAAGACAAGAGAAGACCAAGGUCGACCAAAUUAGCUGCUGGAUCAAAGACUGGCCAUUGUUCUGUGCACAACAUCAUGUCAGCAUUGAUAACACUCAGAAGAACUGAUGAAAACAACUCAUCCCAACCAUGUGGCCUGGACUUUGACAUUCAGAGUUUGUUUCUUUGCCUGUCUGUAUUUUCGACCUGAAAAUUGAUGCCAAAUUGUCUGUUUCUGUCAGUCUUAUUCAUGAAUGAAUGUGUGUGUUUGGGGUUUGAAGGGAGUCUGGCUUAAAUCACAUGGUAGUAAAUUAGUAAUCUACA